AGUGAACGCUGGCGGUAGGCCUAGCACAUGCAAGUCGAACGGCAGCACAGUAAGAGCUUGCUCUUACGGGUUGCGAGUGGCGGACGGGUGAGGAAUACAUCGGAAUCUACUUUUUCGUGGGGGAUAACGUAGGGAAACUUACGCUAAUACCGCAUACGACCUACGGGUGAAAGCAGUGGAUCUUCGGACCUUGCGCGAUUGAAUUAGCCGAUGUCGGAUUAGCUAGUUGGCGGGGUAAAGGCCCACCAAGGCGACGAUCCGUAGCUGGUCUGAGAGGAUGAUCAGCCACACUGGAGCUGGGACGCGGUCCAGACUCCUACGGGAGGCAGCAGUGGGGAAUAUUGGACAAUGGGCGCAAGCCUGAUCCAGCCAUACCGCGUGGGUGAAGAAGGCCUUCGGGUUGUAAAGCCCUUUUGUUGGGAAAGAAAAGCAGCAGGUUAAUACCCCGCUGUUCUGACGGUACCCAAAGAAUAAGCACCGGCUAACUUCGUG
rnacentral:rRNA from 1 species